GCUAACUUUAUCUCAUGCCGCACAGAUAGACUACUAGUGUAUUUUUACCAUUUUUCUUUCGCCUCAUAUUUGGUGUCAAAUGCUGAUACUAUGUGGGAAUACAUAAAGUUGCGCUCAUGAUGGAGGAGGAGCUGGGGUGAAUCCCCAAGCAGCCAGGAUCUCCUCCACACUCCACCCACACCGAACUCGGCUUCACGGAGUCGUUGGACGGCGCCGCGUCGGUCGACUGAAUGGGUGUCACAAAAGCAACGUCAUCGUGUGAUCAGCUCCCACUCUUGCAGCUCCUUCCUCAGACGCCUCGCCUCCACCUGCAGUGCGAGCAGCUCCUGCUGACGGGCCUGCGCCGCCACCUCCAGCUGAGCCCGCUGCUGCAUGACCGCCUUGCUCUGCGCCUCCAUCACACCCAACCUGUGACGUAGAUCUUGGUUGAUCCUGAUCAGGCGAUGCUGCUGCGUCUGGAGCUGGA